CUCCUACGGGAGGCAGCAGUGGGGAAUAUUGCACAAUGGGCGCAAGCCUGAUGCAGCCAUGCCGCGUGUAUGAAGAAGGCCUUCGGGUUGUAAAGUACUUUCAGCGGGGAGGAAGGCGACAGGGUUAAUAACCCUGUCGAUUGACGUUACCCGCAGAAGAAGCACCGGCUAACUCCGUGCCAGCAGCCGCGGUAAUACGGAGGGUGCAAGCGUUAAUCGGAAUUACUGGGCGUAAAGCGCACGCAGGCGGUCUGUCAAGUCGGAUGUGAAAUCCCCGGGCUCAACCUGGGAACUGCAUUCGAAACUGGCAGGCUAGAGUCUUGUAGAGGGGGGUAGAAUUCCAGGUGUAGCGGUGAAAUGCGUAGAGAUCUGGAGGAAUACCGGUGGCGAAGGCGGCCCCCUGGACAAAGACUGACGCUCAGUGCGA
rnacentral:rRNA from 1 species